UACGGAGGGUGCAAGCGUUAUCCGGAUUCACUGGGCUUAAAGGGUGCGUAGGCGGGCAGGUAAGUCAGAGGUGAAAUCUCCGGGCUCAACCCGGAAACUGCCUUUGAUACUAUCUGUCUUGAAUAUGGUGGAGGUAAGCGGAAUAUGUCAUGUAGCGGUGAAAUGCUUAGAGAUGACAUAGAACACCUAUUGCGAAGGCAGCUUACUACGCCUAUAUUGACGCUGAGGCACGAAAGCGUGGGGAUCAAACAGG
rnacentral:rRNA from 1 species